rnacentral:rRNA from 1 species
UAGGGAAUCUUCCGCAAUGGACGAAAGUCUGACGGAGCAACGCCGCGUGAGUGAAGAAGGCUUUCGGUUCGUAACACUCUGUUGUUAGGGAAGAAAAAAUGUAUAGUAACUAUAUACAAAAGAGACGGUACCUAACCAGAAAGCCACGGCUAACUACGUGCCAGCAGCCGCGGUAAUACGUAGGUGGCAAGCGUUGUCCGGAAUUAUUGGGCGUAAAGCGCGCGCAGGUGGUUUAGAAAGUCUGAUGUGAAAGCCCACGGCUCAACCGUGGAGGGUCAGUGGAAACUAAUAGACAUGAGUGCAGGAGAGAAAAGUGGAAGUACUAGUGUAGCGGUGAGAUGCGUAGAGAUUAGGAGGGACACCGGUGGCGAGAGCGGCUUUUUGGCCUGCAACUGACACUGAGGCGCGAAAGCGUGGGGAGCAAGCAGG